UUUUUUUUAUAUAUACAACAGCAGUGAGCUGUACUCAAUCAGCAGGGGAAGAGCACCCCGCGGGCAUUGUUUUAGAAGACCCCCCCCCCCCCCCCCCCCCCCCCCCACACACACACACAAAAUAAACAGUGCAGACCCUAUAGCAUCACACCCCUAACCCUGGUCACUACCCACAAGUAGGUCUGCACUGCUUGUGCAGGUUGACUGGCACUAUCCACGGAUAGGCUGGCGCUUUGCCACUCUUUUGUGGGUUGUCAGCAAGGGAGGUUUUUAAAAUCAGCACCGAAAUUUGUUCCUGCAGGAAGUUGAAAUGAGUCGUUGGAGGUGCUGAGUCACAAUCACUAGGCUAUGAAUCCUUUCACCAGUGAGCUGUACUAUCGAAGGAACUCUGCACGGUCAAGGUAAGGCAUGGUUUUAAAAGAUAUUCACUAUCUGCAACAGAGAGUAAGACUAUCCAUUUCUUAUUUUGCUUUUUUUAAAGAUAUUCAUUAUCUGCAACAGCAAAUAAGACUAUUCAUUCCUUAUUUUGCUUUAUUUUGAAUUAACUGUUGUUAUGUUCGAUGUUAUUGAUGACUCUUGUAAAAUUUUGAAGGCUCCAUAUUAUUCAGUAUAAGCUCCCAAAGGUCCACAAUGGUGCUCAUUGUGACGGUGGCCCUGGUUGAAUUCAUGAAGUAUGACUGCAAAGCUUCAUUUGGAGGGUUUUAGUUUCGAAAAUAUGAAGGACAAGCUUGGUGCAGUGGUGAGAAGCCUUACCAGUUACCACCGAGCCAAAGGUAGUUCGACACAGCCUUUCUACAAAAAUACAGGGAUACGGCUUGCCACGAUUAUUUCUCUCGGGCCCUACUCAUGUGGAAGUCUGUCUUUUUUUUUCCCCUCGAAAAUACCCUGGCCGAUCCGGUGCUAGUACCGAACUGGAGGAUUUAUUUUACCUGGUCCUUGGCUUCAGCUUGAUCAGAUUCUCUCUUAUGUACAGGUUGUUAGUUCUAGAGUUCCGGUACAAUGGGCGCUAGUGCGCUACAUAUUUGGAAACCCGAUAGAUUAACUAUUCGAAAAUCCGGAAGUAACAUGACUGUUUAUUAAGUUAUUUUUCUCCCCCCUCCCAAAACAACUGGAAGCUGAAGCCAACACAGGCGGUGCCAAAGUGGCCUUUAAUAUUUUCAGAAGCACGGGAGCACUGUCUAUGCACAAUCCGUUGCAGUUAAAUGUCUAGGUUGGCAAUGCGCCAAUGUAGUGACUGUCGGAUACUUGUGGUUACUGAGCUUUACCGGCUCUUGGAACUCGUUACUACAGUAC
rnacentral:lncRNA from 7 species